UACGGAGGGUGCGAGCGUUAUCCGGAAUCACUGGGUUUAAAGGGUGCGUAGGCGGCGAGGUAAGUCAGUUGUGAAAUACCCCGGCUCAACCGGCGGGACUGCGAUUGAUACUGCUUUGCUUGAAACAGGUUGAGGUAAGCGGAAUGUGGCAUGUAGCGGUGAAAUGCAUAGAUAUUCCAUAGAACACCGAUUGCGAAGGCAGCUUGCUGGGCCUGAUUUGACGCUGAGGCACGACAGCGUGGGGAGCAAACAGG
rnacentral:rRNA from 1 species